GUGGGUAGUUUGACUGGGGCGGUCUCCUCCUAAAGAGUAACGGAGGAGCACGAAGGUUGGCUAAUCCUGGUCGGACAUCAGGAGGUUAGUGCAAUGGCAUAAGCCAGCUUGACUGCGAGCGUGACGGCGCGAGCAGGUGCGAAAGCAGGUCAUAGUGAUCCGGUGGUUCUGAAUGGAAGGGCCAUCGCUCAACGGAUAAAAGGUACUCCGGGGAUAACAGGCUGAUACCGCCCAAGAGUUCAUAUCGACGGCGGUGUUUGGCACCUCGAUGUCGGCUCAUCACAUCCUGGGGCUGAAGUAGGUCCCAAGGGUAUGGCUGUUCGCCAUUUAAAGUGGUACGCGAGCUGGGUUUAGAACGUCGUGAGACAGUUCGGUCCCUAUCUGCCGUGGGCGCUGGAGAACUGAGGGGGGCUGCUCCUAGUACGAGAGGACCGGAGUGGACGCAUCACUGGUGUUCGGGUUGUCA
rnacentral:rRNA from 1 species